UCCUACGGGAGCAGCAGUGGGAAUAUUGGCCAAUGGGCGCAAGCUUGUCCAGCCACGCCGCGUGAGUGAUGAAGGCCCUAGGGUUGUAAAGCUCUUUCGCCAGGGGCGAUAAUGACGGUACCUGGAUAAGAAGCCCCGGCUAACUUCGUGCCAGCAGCCGCGGUAAUACGAAGGGGGCUAGCGUUGUUCGGAAUCACUGGGCGUAAAGCGCACGUAGGCGGAUUGUUAAGUCAGGGGUGAAAUCCCGAGGCUCAACCUCGGAACUGCCUUUGAUACUGGCGAUCUAGAGUCCGGGAGAGGUGAGUGGAACUGCGAGUGUAGAGGUGAAAUUCGUAGAUAUUCGCAAGAACACCAGUGCCGAAGGCGGCUCACUGGCCCGGAACUGACGCUGAGGUGCGAAAGCGU
rnacentral:rRNA from 1 species